AUUCAACUGACGAGUCCUAAAUAGAACGAAACAUGAGUCAAAUUGGAU
rnacentral:hammerhead_ribozyme from 1 species